UACUGAGCAGACCCUGAAACAAGUGAUUUGAACAUGAUUAAAGCCUGUCUUACAGAAAGGCGCCCAGUCUUGAUCUGAGGAUGCCAAGAGAUGGAGAAUUGUUUUUUCCCUUGAUACCAGAUCAUCUACCUCGAUGACCUCCUGCAGCAGUGAGUUCCACAGUUCAGCUGGUCUCUGCGUAAAGGGUUCUCAUUUUGUGCCAACAUGGCCGAAUACAUCUCCCACCCCUCCUCCACCUGGAACCUGGGCACUCAGCCCCCUCACACCUCCACCCUUUACCCUUUGGAGCCCAUGGAUCUGGGAGUUUCUGAGCAGCAGACACCUCUGGAGGAGACUCCAUCAUCCCCAGAGCUGGGUAACGACGAGGAUUUCAACUCUCCACCGGACCCUGAUGUACCCUAUCCAGACCUGGCACCCGUGGUAUUCUUCUGCUUGAAACAGACCACCAGCCCCCGGAACUGGUGCAUCAAAAUCGUGUGCAAUCCAUAUCCUUUCAGAGCUGCCUGCUGCCCCUCCUAAUCUUUUUGCUCUCUUCUACCCCAUGCCUCCCUCUGCUCUCGCGGGGUGCCUG